rnacentral:rRNA from 1 species
UACAGAGGGUGCAAGCGUUAUCCGGAAUGAUUGGGCGUAAAGCGUCCGCAGGUGGCUGUGUAAGUCUGCUGUCAAAGAGCAAAGCUCAACUUUGUAAAGGCAGUGGAAACUACACGGCUAGAGUGCGUUCGGGGCAGAGGGAAUUCCUGGUGUAGCGGUGAAAUGCGUAGAGAUCAGGAAGAACACCGGUGGCGAAGGCGCUCUGCUAGGCCGCAACUGACACUGAGGGACGAAAGCUAGGGGAGCGAAUGGG